rnacentral:rRNA from 1 species
GACGUAGGGCGCAAGCGUUGUCCGGAAUUAUUGGGCGUAAAGAGCUCGUAGGCGGCUUGUUGCGUCGACUGUGAAAAACCACGACUCAACCGUGGGACUGCAGUCGAUACGGGCAGGCUAGAGUUCGGUAGGGGAGACUGGAAUUCCUGGUGUAGCGGUGAAAUGCGCAGAUAUCAGGAGGAACACCGGUGGCGAAGGCGGGUCUCUGGGCCUUACCUGACGCUCAGGUGCGAAAGCUAGGGGAGCGAACAGG